GCGGAAUACGACUGGUUAAUUAAAACAAAGCAUCGCGAAGGCCCAAGGUGGGUGUUGACGCGAUGUGAUUUCUGCCCAGUGCUCUGAAUGUCAAAGUGAAUAAAUUCAAUGAAGCGCGGGUAAACGGCGGGAG